GAUGAACGCUAGCGGCAGGCUUAACACAUGCAAGUCGAGGGGUAGAGGCUUUCGGGCCUUGAGACCGGCGCACGGGUGCGUAACGCGUAUGCAAUCUGCCUUGUACUGGGGGAUAGCCCAGAGAAAUUUGGAUUAAUACCCCAUAGUAUUUUCGGUUGGCAUCAACUGAUUAUUAAAGUUUUUCGGUACAAGAUGAGCAUGCGUCCCAUUAGCUAGUUGGUAUGGUAACGGCAUACCAAGGCUACGAUGGGUAGGGGUCCUGAGAGGGACAUCCCCCACACUGGUACUGAGACACGGACCAGACUCCUACGGGAGGCAGCAGUGAGGAAUAUUGGUCAAUGGUCGCAAGACUGAACCAGCCAUGCCGCGUGCAGGAUGAAGCAUCUAUGGUGUGUAAACUGCUUUUGUACGGGAAGGAACACUCCUACGUGUAGGGGCUUGACGGUACCGUAAGAAUAAGGAUCGGCUAACUCCGUGCCAGCCGCCGCCGUAAAAC
rnacentral:rRNA from 1 species